UUUGUAUAUCAAAACAAGCAAAAAAAUAAAAAUGUGAAUUACAACCUUGGAAUAACAACCUUGGAAUAACCCACAUAACAUAAAGGAAAACAAAGAAAACUACCAAAACUCUUUCCGAGUAGGGAGAGAAGUAACCUUCCAAUUGUUAAGAUUCACUUUUGGCCCGACGAACUGCACAUCCGCUUUGCAGGAACCUUCUCAAAUUUAAACCAUGUUCACCUUAUCAAAUAACAUCUAGAAAAUUUCAACUAGUUCUUCAUCAAACGACAAACAGAACAUACUCGGAACUGAGAAGGGACUCGUAGCUUUGACACCUGGCAUGAGUGGUUGAAGGAACUGGACUUAGCUCCAGAAAGGGAAAGAAAGUUAGACACGUGGCUUUCGUUAUUAGCUUUUUCUUUUUUGUUAUUACGUAAGUGGUCUACUUUAGGCUACAGUUUGAAUUUUGUGUCUAUUUUUAGAAGUUAUGCAUAAAGUCUUGGAAAAUUUAUUUUUUCGGAUAAUUAGAUUGUCACUCAACAGGAAUAGAGCAUCAAACGACAAACAGAACAUCAAAUCUCUUACACCUAACAAAUUAGUUCCCCAAAUUCAACCUCUAUUACUCUUAUCAUAUUUUCAAUCACACGAAAAAUAAAGUAAAGAACCAGAAACAAACUUGAGAAAAGCAAUUUUUUGAUUAAUAAAGAGAUUCCGCCAACUACACGAACCGAUAAGAACCACAACUUCGAUCAAAAUUUGAAUCUAUGAUAUUAGGCCAAACGCAAUAGUUGCAAAAAUGAGAAGAGUCACCGGUUUUGUCAUGUUCCAUCCAUUUCCUUCCAAUAUUUCCAAGUAUAUAUAUAUUUCUUGUUCAUCUCAUCCCAAACAUGUUCUCUCAAUUUUUGAGAAAAUCAUAUCUAAGUCCUCUCAACUUCCAUUCACCCUCUCUCUGCCUUUUUGAAAUUCGGAUAAAGCUGCCAUUUUUUGUGCGUUUUUCUAUUAGAUGCUGAUGGCUUUUUUUUGAUGGAGAAGAAGGUCCCUAGCGGCUGAUUUCCUUAGGGGUAUUUCUUGGUUGUAGGUCUAGUGUUUUAUUUAGGAAUUAGGUAUUAUUAUAUAGGGAUAUCAAUUAGGUUUGGUCAAAUGGGGAAUGGGUAUGAGCUUAAUAUUUU
rnacentral:lncRNA from 1 species